CCUACGGGUGGCUGCAGUGGGGAAUAUUGGACAAUGGGCGAAAGCCUGAUCCAGCCAUGCCGCGUGUGUGAAGAAGGCCUUCGGGUUGUAAAGCACUUUCAGUGGGGAAGAAAGCCUUGGGGCUAAUACCCUCGAGGAAGGACAUCACCCACAGAAGAAGCACCGGCUAACUCCGUGCCAGCAGCCGCGGUAAUACGGAGGGUGCGAGCGUUAAUCGGAUUUACUGGGCGUAAAGCGCGCGUAGGCGGUCUGAUAAGCCGGUUGUGAAAGCCCCGGGCUCAACCUGGGAACGGCAUCCGGAACUGUCAGGCUAGAGUGCAGGAGAGGAAGGUAGAAUUCCCGGUGUAGCGGUGAAAUGCGUAGAGAUCGGGAGGAAUACCAGUGGCGAAGGCGGCCUUCUGGACUGACACUGACGCUGAGGUGCGAAAGCGUGGGUAGCAAACAGGAUUAGAUACCCUGGUAGUC
rnacentral:rRNA from 1 species